rnacentral:misc_RNA from 1 species
AAAUCGAUAGUAGCGCGUUACCUCAGAAUUUAACGGGAACUAUGUCUAGAAGUUAAUGGAUAUAUGUGUUGUGUUAAGGAUGAUCUUGUGAGGAGUAAAAAACAUGUUGUCUGUUCAAGAAGAUACGUUGACAGAGAGAGAUGUACUUUUGACAGUUGAAGAAAGUCAGGACACAAAUUGUGAUAUCAACAAUUUAUCGAAGAGUUAUUCGGGCAGUGAGACAUGUCUAAAAACCCCGAUUGGACAGGACCAUUACGAAGCGAAUGUAGAGCGAGGGCAUGACACUCUAACCCCUGAAAAUACUCUUCGGCAACGUCGUGUGGCCAAACUUCCCCCGGGCAAAAAGUACCAUUUAUUCAUAUCUUGUUCAACAGAGGACAUAACCGAAGUGAACAAAAUAUGCAAGGAGCUUGAAAGUAGAUUCUUCUUCAAGUGCAUGCAACAUGAUAGGGACUUCGUAAUCGGAAAACCAUUGGACGAUAAUAUUCAAUCCGAAAUGGCAAAAAGCGUAAAGGUUUUGAUAUUGAUGAGUCCUGCAUAUAUCACUAGUCGCUGGUGCAUGUCGGAGGCAGAUGAGGCGGUACGGUUGUCGUAUUCAGAGAGAGAAAAACUAAAGAUAAUCCCUGUUCUGCUGCGACCCCCUGACGAGGGACUUAAACUGCCGCCAUUUCUGAAUCGCUAUCGAUAUAUUGACUCGCAGAAAGAGAAGGAUAUAACGGCGAAGAUAUUUGAAGCUUACUACCAUUCAGAUGCAGUUGAUUAUAUAAAGAUACAAGGUGAACAAGAACUCACUGAGGACGAAAUCAAAAACCAAAAUGGAGCAAGGCUUUUAACGAAAACAUUCAUUCAGCAACGACCAUAUUCCGAAAAGGGAUAUGUGUUCGAGACUGAACAACUUACUUUAAAUGAACGGGAAUAUUUAAAAAAUUUACACGAAAAGGUAAUGCUAUGAAAGCUGUUAGUUGUAAAGGCGCUAGGAUAUUUUUCAGGCAAUAUCUUUUCCAUAUUUAUCUUACGAUUUUAUUGAUAGGAAAAAUCUAUUAGAAAGUACUGGCAAAUGUGGUUCGAAAAACGUCUUUUUAUGCAAAUGUCAAACUCUAAGAUUUUUAAAGUAACAAUAUAUGGGAAAGACAGGUUCAAUUUUUGAAGUUUAUUUACCUUUAUAUCUGUUAUAAAAAUUAAUCAUGAAGUGUUAAAACAAGAAUAAACAGAACAUGACACAUGUGCGCUAACCGGUCUGGUAUUGGCUUCCUGUGCUACUGAAUAUUUCUUCUUCUUUUUUUUAAAAUAUUCUUAUUAAUAAAACAAUACCGUUCCAUGUAAUAGUAAACUCAAAACUUUGUGAUGGCUUUUUUACGAAAAUUCUUAUAUGCCCCUUCACCGACAUAUUUAUUAGUCCACAUUAAUAUUUGUUCUUUUUACUCAACGAUCUUAUGAUGCAGUGUGUGGACCAGUUUGAGGCUGCUGUCUCCUUGGUAACCGAUCACAAACUCAUGAGAUACUACAAGAUCUUUACCAUGGCUAUAUUUACCCACGUGGCAGCGUUCUUCUUCUCUGCUACCUUUGUCUCAUCGGUCUCAACCCUGUACAUGACCAGUGUUCUCAUUGUCAGGAACUUUGAAUCAUUUCCUUCCUUUGGUGAAGUGCUGGCAAUUUCAGUAUUUGGAGGAUGUUGUUUUUAUAUUGUGUUUGUAGUGGGAAUACUUUUCUUUCGAAGAGGGAUGACAGUUCAUAUACGCAAAGAGUUAUGGAAGUCGGUAAAUAUUAAGUAUUUCCGGGAAACGAAGUGUUUGGUUGAUUACAACGAUACAUCUGUUCGGGAACCUGCUAUUUUCAUCUUUCGAUAUGACACAACUCCCUGUCAGGAAUAUCUAAAUGUACUGAUUGAGCAAAAAUAUUUUUACUUGGACGAAGAAGCAAUAAAGACCAUGGCAGAAGAACAGAUUGAUAACAAACUGUCUGAGCUUCAACGUCUUGGUGUCCUGGCAGACUGGUUUCGAUUACCUGUCUACGAUUACAAUCGUCAUCAUACUUGGCUAAGGAAACAGUGCUUGUGUCAAAUGUUGGAGAUGAGCCUGAUUCAAAGGGAAGUGAUUACAGUGUGACAACUUUGAAACAAAAUGAUGGAGAAUACUGAAAGUGUUUUACUGAAGUAAUGACUAGGGACAAAAUGAAACGAACCAAAAUCAUUAACUACUUUAUUUUAAUUUUCAUACUGAUACAUGUACUUAUUUGAAUUUCUUAUAUGUAUUUCUGUUUUUUAAACAGCUGCCUGGAUCUGCACUUA